rnacentral:rRNA from 1 species
UACGAAGGGGGCUAGCGUUGCUCGGAAUCACUGGGCGUAAAGCGACACGUAGGCGGAUCUUUAAGUCAGGGGUGAAAUCCUGGAGCUCAACUCCAGAACUGCCUUUGAUACUGGGGAUCUCGAGUCCGGGAGAGGUGAGUGGAACUCCGAGUGUAGAGGUGAAAUUCGUAGAUAUUCGGAAGAACACCAGUGGCGAAGGCGGCUCACUGGCCCGGUACUGACGCUGAGGUGCGAAAGCGUGGGAGCAACAGG